AGUGAACGCUGGCGGUAGGCCUAACACAUGCAAGUCGAACGGCAGCACAGUAAGAGCUUGCUCUUACGGGUGGCGAGUGGCGGACGGGUCAGGAAUACAUCGGAAUCUACUUUUUCGUGGGGGAUAACGUAGGGAAACUUACGCCAAUACCGCAUACGACCUACGGGUGAAAGCAGGGGAUCUUCGGACCUUGCGCGAUUCAAUGAGCCGAUGUCGGAUUAGCUAGUUGGCGGGGUAAAGGCCCACCAAGGCGACGAUCCGUAGCUGGUCUGAGAGGAUGAUCGGCCACACUGGAACUGAGACACGGUCCAGACUCCUACGGGAGGCAGCAGUGGGGAAUAUUGGACAAUGGGCGCAAGCCUGAUCCAGCCAUACCGCGUGGGUGAAGAAGGCCUUCGGGUUGUAAAGCCCUUUUGUUGGGAAAGAAAAGCAGCAGGUUAAUACCCCGCUGUUCUGACGGUACCCAAAGAAUAAGCACCGGCUAACUUCGUG
rnacentral:rRNA from 1 species